rnacentral:rRNA from 1 species
CUCGUAGGUGGCCAACUAAGUCAGACGUGAAAUCCUUCGGCUUAACCGGGGAACUGCGUCUGAUACUGGAUGGCUUGAGUUCGGGAGAGGGAUGCGGAAUUCCAGGUGUAGCGGUGAAAUGCGUAGAUAUCUGGAGGAACACCGGUGGCGAAGGCGGCAUCCUGGACCGACACUGACGCUGAGGAGCGAAAGCCAGGGGAGCAAACA